rnacentral:rRNA from 1 species
GGUGUUUACUGUCGAACUGAACACUCUACCGUUUACUGUCUGGUGGUGCUCUUCACCGAGUGUCACCAGUGGUCGGUACGUUUACUUUGAAAAAAUUAGAGUGCUCAAAGCGGUUUUUACACGACCGAAUACUGUUGCAUGGAAUAAUGAAAUAGGACUUUGGUUCUAUUUUGUUGGUCUUCGGAACCAAGGUAAUGAUUAAGAGGGACAGACGGGGGCAUUAGUAUUGCGACGCUAGAGGUGAAAUUCUUGGACCGUCGCAAGACUAACUAAAGCGAAAGCAUUUGCCAAGAAUGUUUUCAUUAAUCAAGAACGAAAGUUAGAGGUUCGAAGGCGAUCAGAUACCGCCCUAGUUCUAACCAUAAACGAUGCCAACCAGCAAUCAGCCUGUGUUCUCUUGAUGACACGGCUGGCGGCUUCCGGGAAACCAAAGUCUUUCGGUUCCAGGGGAAGUAUGGUUGCAAAGCUGAAACUUAAAGGAAUUGACGGAAGGGCACCACCAGGAGUGGAGCCUGCGGCUUAAUUUGACUCAACACGGGGAAACUCACCCGGCCCGGACACUGUGAGGAUUGACAGGUUGAAGCCCUUUCUUGAUUCAGUGGGUGGUGGUGCAUGGCCGUUCUUAGUUGGUGGAGUGAUUUGUCUGGUUAAUUCCGAUAACGAACGAGACUCUAGCCUACUAAUUAGACCGUGGCGUCCUCGUGCCGCCACGGCGCUUCCUAAAGGGACAGACGG